UGGCGGCCGUAGCGCGGUGGUCCCACCUGACCCCAUGCCGAACUCAGAAGUGAAACGCCGUAGCGCCGAUGGUAGUGUGGGGUCUCCCCAUGCGAGAGUAGGGAACUGCCAGGCA
rnacentral:rRNA from 875 species